rnacentral:lncRNA from 1 species
CUGCCCGCCAGGCGAACCUGAAUGAUGGUGAACCCUGAGAGAUCGAUGGGCCUGAAUGAACCGUGGAGGCAAUCGUGACCCGAUGUGACUAGGCCUACCACCGGCGUAUACGCACACAAAGGGUGACUGUCAGAAAAGUUGCUUUUUAGCGGAACAAAUUUUCUGUCGGCGCGCGCGCCACUGUCGCGUGUUGAAGCUGCGGAAGCGGUUGCUCACGUGAACACGGGGGAAGAGGGUUUCAAGCAGCUCAGUGGACUUACAGAAGACGGUGAUGCGUCGUCCGGAACGGCACCGUUGAAGACGCCGUAACGUUCGCAUGGCGACAAAGUAUUUCCCUUGCCGCCAGAUUAGUUGUUUCACCGAAGAGUAUGGGAGCGACAGUGCGUGGAAUUCUCGAGCGACAGGGCCCAUCGGAAUGUGACUUGAAGUCAAGGGAGCAAGUGGAUAUAUAAUGGGCGGUUCGUCGUUGUCGACCGUUGUGGAGGCGUGUCACUGAUUCGUCAAUUUCGUGCGUAGAAUUGUUGAGGCACCCAGAGCCGUUGUUUAGCAGCAUGUUUCAUUAUUUGAGUUGCUACGCAUCAGUGUGUGACGGUUUCUCCGACGGUGGGUAAUGGUUGGCGGGUGGUUCCACAAAAUGGGGUCGCGCGGUUCGAGCCCUUCAGGGAAAGUAUGAAGCACGUGGAGAGAGGGCGGCAAUAGACGAAAGAGGGUCAAGGUGAUGUCGCAGUUACAAGCGUAACUUGCGCCGGCGCACACCACGUUCUACAUACUUUGGCUUCCGAACACCCGUUCUGCAUGAUGAUAAGCGAUGCCAAGGUACUGUUGUGUGCUAGAGGGUUCCUGUGGCUAACAGUCGAAGUGAAAGUAGGAAAAACACGAUGUAAUGGAUGAUUGUUCGGGUUAACUCGGUGGACAGUGUCGGGCGAGAAGCGUACUGAGGUGUGCGGGAUCAUCAAAACAAGUUCCACGCGCGCCGCGCCAUCUCUCCAUGGGGCAUCUGUCGCCGCGAAUGCAAUUGCAUGUGGGAGAUUUUCAGUUCGAUCAAUGCGCUACGUUCAAGAUCCGCCAUACAGGAUAGGCAAUGACGGCUGGUACUGGUUAGCAAAGUUGGGCAUAGCAGGACAGGGCUGUUGCACGCUGCAACGUGGACACGUAGUUCCAGAGACACGACUGGGAAGUGGGCCCAGGUUAGGCUAUCAUCUAACGGGUGCUGGUGCACAAAGGGAAUCAGAUUUUUUUGGUAGGAAAUAUGGGUUUUUAUUGACGUGAGUGCUGGACAGUAGCCAACAGACAGAAGUCGCUGCGACAGUUUACGUAGUCGCAAAAGUCAAAAUCUAUGCAGAUUCGCCACUCACGCAGAAAGCUACGUUUCCGGUUCCCCGAAGACCAUCGAAUUUUGAUCUUCACGACGGCCGAGUAGGCGUUGCCGAGCACUGACCCAGUUCUGCCGGGCCGAUUGUCCAUACUGUCUGCUGUGGUGCGUGAAGUAAGCCACCUCGUAAGCAACAGCAAAGUUGUCAGGAAUAAUGGAUCGACGCAUGUCAACAGAUCCUCCACCAAUGAGGGUCAGGUCGUUGUGAGAACCCGUACAAGACGCAGGAGUCGCUGGAACAACACGCAGAUGAUGGCAAGAGAGAGGAAGACGAUAAUCGCGACAAGAACCAUUUUAUUGAAGAGAGUCCGCCUUAACAUGGCUGUCAAAAGAGAGCGAGAAUCCUGAAGUUCUCCGUAGGUCUUUUGCGCCUGCAGGGACGUGGAAGGGAGCAGCCAUAGGGGUGCGCUCUUGAUUUCGGAGGGCAUGCGACACGCACGAAUAAUAACACACUUUACGGAGUCAGCAGGGGACGAAAGACACCGUCUUUUUCUCCGUGUAGUCAGUUUCUGUUUUACGCGUUGUCAUUUCGAUCCGCUUAAAAAGCGAUAAUGACAUCUCCUGUAUCUCCACGAAUGUCACCAAUGCAAGAAACCAUAUGCAUCUACAUUCAUAAGCCGACAUAGAGGAGCGUAGGCAUGCUAAUGCGUAUGAAAGAAGCAGAACGUUUCUUACACACCAGCAAAAUAUCCCUUCUCUCGCUGUCUUGUGUGCCCUUCCGU